rnacentral:rRNA from 1 species
GAUGAACGCUGGUGGCGUGCCUAAUACAUGCAAGUCGAGCGAACAGAUGAGGAGCUUGCUCCUCUGACGUUAGCGGCGGACGGGUGAGUAACACGUGGAUAACCUACCUAUAAGACUGGGAUAACUUCGGGAAACCGGAGCUAAUACCGGAUAAUAUAUUGAACCGCAUGGUUCAAUAGUGAAAGACGGUUUUGCUGUCACUUAUAGAUGGAUCCGCGCCGCAUUAGCUAGUUGGUAAGGUAACGGCUUACCAAGGCAACGAUGCGUAGCCGACCUGAGAGGGUGAUCGGCCACACUGGAACUGAGACACGGUCCAGACUCCUACGGGAGGCAGCAGUAGGGAAUCUUCCGCAAUGGGCGAAAGCCUGACGGAGCAACGCCGCGUGAGUGAUGAAGGUCUUCGGAUCGUAAAACUCUGUUAUUAGGGAAGAACAAAUGUGUAAGUAACUAUGCACGUCUUGACGGUACCUAAUCAGAAAGCCACGGCUAACUACGUG